UGAGCAGGCUAAGGUGGAAGACGACGA
rnacentral:piRNA from 1 species